CAAAUAACAUUGGUCUCAAAUCUUAAAGAAGACGUUUCGUCUAGAAGAUGACGACGAUAACGCAGCAAUAAACGGAAUGCAACCGCCUUUGUUCUUAAACGAGAACAAGAUUGAAGCGCGAGCGAACGUAAAAAUGCCACUGAUAAAAAAGUAGGCCUACAACCUGAAAUUCAAGCGGUCAGUUGUUAAACAAAAUGUUAAACUUCAAUAAUUGUUGGUAGUCAAGUUAUAUAGGCCAUUUAAUUAAUCUCUGAACAGCGUAAGCAUACCACAUUGUAAACCAUACCACAUUGGCGGGGAAAACACAUCGGCGGGAAAACACGGCAUACGCCAUGGAUUCAGCCUCGUACGCGCUCGCGUGUGUGUGUGUGUGUGUGUGUUUAACUCUUUCUCUCUUUCUAGUAGUUUCAUGUCGUUUAUAUGUUCAAUUUAAAAGAAAAGAUAAACCUAGUCUAAUAUGUUGUUUCAUCUUCUAGAGACCAUCCAGAGAACUCAUUGCUUCGGUUUGAUUGACGUCUAUUGGCCCUGCAGCCUGCUGUUUUUUUUACCAUCCAAACCCCCCUACCCCAUCUUUCUCGCUACCCCCAAACCCCAUCUCCUCUUAUGGCGUUUUUGAUGUCUCUUUUUUGAGACCGCUCAGUAAAACGGCUUGCCUAUCCUCUACCUGUCUCUACCCUAUUUCUCUCUAACUUAUUUACCGCUAUCAUUACGGCAUUCUCAUUUCUAAAGUACUUGAAAUGAACAAAAAAACCGAACUAAAAAAACCCUGAGCCAAUGAAAAACCCAGAGCCAUUGAAAAAAACCCAGAAACUUGAAAAAAAAAAAAAAUCUUUCUUUUUGAAAUAGAAAGUACCAUCUCACUACAAACUGGUUUGUUUUGAGAAAUCUCCUCCUGUACCUAUUGUCACACUCUGUACCUACUGUCACACUCC
rnacentral:lncRNA from 1 species